rnacentral:rRNA from 1 species
GAAAAGCCACCAAACCAAACCAAAGCGGCCGACAGUAAAGGUCCAAAUACGGUACGCCGGACGGACAAAUAAUCAAAUCGACCCGUUCAUUCAAUUUUUUUUCAAAUCGACCCGUUCACAGGACUGGACUGGACCGGACAGAUAUUUAUGCCCGCGCAGUUUCGUCCUCGGAGGUUUAGGUUUCCACCGACACCGACACCGAGUGUGUGUGUGUGUCUCUCUCUGUUCUCUGUCGCUCAGUGUCUGGCUCCCUCCCCCUCGAGUCUGGUCCGGUCGCCCUUAGCGCGCGCGCCCGGCCCGCUGCUGACUCCGCCUCUAGGGAAGGCUGGCCGGCGGCGGCGGCGAGCAGCUGUGGCUGGUUGUCUCCUUCGUCAAGGAGACUCAACGACGUCGCGCAUCAGACUCUCUGUUCGUUCAUGUCGUCGGUACCCCCUCCAGCGCCGCCUCGACAUGUGGGUCCUACCGUGGUAGCUGUAGUUCCCGUUGGGCCGGGAGUUCUCGUUGUGGCCGUUGACCGCUCGUACGGGGAUGUAGGAGCGCUUGCUCACGACGCUCGCGGAACGGAUGAUGCCGUACUCGUGGUUGGACCAGUUGAAGUACUUCCUGGCCUACCCGUACCGGUUGCGCCGCCGGCGGUUGUUGCAGUGGUUGACCCCGCCGUGGACGAUGUAGUGGGGCGAGUAGCCGCGGAAGGAGCGGCUGCGGAUGGAGCCGGCGAAGACCUGGUAGCGGAGGAAGUACUAGUAGAUGUAGAAGCCGGAGCCGGACGAGUGGUACCGGUGGAGGCACGUGCCGGAGCACGGGCGGACGCGGAGGUUCCCGCACACGCUGGGGUGCGGCCCGGUCAGCCGCCGGCAGAAGUAGCGCGAGAUGGAGUAGCGCGAGCCGUGGCCGCCCUAGUUCGGGACGCAGAGGAGGAAGCCCCGGCUGGUCAAGCUGCUCGUGCUGCUGCACCUCGCGUUCUCGUUCUCGAGGAAGAAGUUGACCAAGAUGAAGAGGUAGUUGUAGCCGCGCGACCACCGGAGCAGGCACGACCACAUGCACGUCUGCGUACACCCCACCUCGACCCCGAAGCCGUAGGGGCGGCAGCAGUACCGGUAGCGGCAGCCGUCGAAGAAGCAGCCGUGCGGCGACAUGGCGGUGGUCGCGGGGCCGCCGUCGGGCGAGUGGGCGUAGCGCGUCCACGAGCACCGGCGGUGCGCGUUCGAGCCGCAGGGGCAGCUGCCCAGCCGCGACAUGCUCUGGCGCCUGUCCCUCAGGCCGUAGCUCCCCUCGGCGUUCGACCUCGUGUGCCCCGUCAAGUCCAAGGAGCUGUUCCGCCGCCACCUCUGCGUCCGCCUGUUCUGCCGCCGGUGGCCCGGCAGCGGCACCGCCGACACGUGCCACUGCGUCCACCUCCUCGAGUUCUCGCACCACGCCGACGACGGGUAGACCCGCUCGCCGUAGCAGAAGCGGUGCCACAUGCCGGUCUACUCGUGGUACAAGCACGAUGUCCCGUUGUGGGACCUGCGGAGGUACCCAGGGUUCAAGUUCUAGGGGAGGCGGAGGGAGAGGUAGAAGCUGUGGGAGUCGCAGUAGCGGACCCACGGGCAGAUGCUGGCGUAGGAGCAGGGCCGUCACGCGAGGCAGUGGCCGGCCGGGGCGCCGAAGUGGGUCGAGGUCGCGUACCCGUAGCCGGAGCACCAGAGGUACAAGCGGUACGAGUGGCGGCCGCACGAGCUCGAGCAGGCGGAGGCGUGGUAGCGCGUCGCGCCGGAGAUGCCCCUCUUCCUGCACCACGGGUAGAGGUAGAAGACCGUCCACGGCGUCAUGAAGUAGUAGCCGCGGCGGCUCCACAAGUGGAAGCACCCGGUCGAGCUCAAGAAGAUGCUGGUCCGCGGGCUGCGGUACUCCUCGUACACGAGGCGCGAGAGCGAGUGGUGGCAGCGCGAGCCCUUGAUGGAGUCGUGCGACGAGCAGUGGCAGCACCGGUUCGAGUGGUGGUCCCCUCCGUUCGUCCCCACCUAGGGGCUGUUGGAGUUGCAGCCGGUGGAGCUGAUGAAGAAGACCGACGAGCGGCGCGAGUCGGAGGAGUUGAAGCGGCAGAUGGAGGAGUAGCGGUCGACCAUGUGGAUGUUCUUCUGGCGGCCUCUACUGGGCCUGCGGUUUCGGUUUCCUCCUCGACUACUACGUGUACUGGUCACUCACUGAGACCGACGUUGUCAAGCACAGACUUACGCACGCACAAAAGAAAAAGUUCUCUGUACUGUCUUAUCUAACAACUUUCUUCUUCUUCUUCUUUCGUUCCUAGCUCUGAAGUCUCAAGUCUAUCCACUUUAAUUCCCUCCUGUUACUUUACGCACCACACUAAACACUGAAGUUCUAAGUUCUCACAACGGAACAACUAAUUAUAUGAUCACAGAACCUUUUUAACCGUCUUUUUUCAAGUCUACAAUACAUGAAAUAAUCUAACCACACGUUACGCUGGGUUUCGAAGAUGUCACUGUCACUCGUCUUUUUCAUGUUCUCAAAUUAUCCUAAAUGUUGUCGAAGUAUUUGCGGUAGAUUUCAAAACAUUUGAACAACAUACCUGCAGUGGGUUUAUACGGUAAAAGUAGAGACAAUUGGGGUCUUGGAGUGUUGUAAAAGUAGGCACAAUUUGGGUAGAUUCAAAACAUAUUGAACAACGUACCCUACGUUACUUGAUUCUCGUAG